rnacentral:tRNA from 1 species
GUCGGGGUGGCUCAGCCUGGUGGAGCGUCGGACUCAUAAUCCGGAGGCCCGGGGUUCAAAUCCCCGCCCCGACA